rnacentral:rRNA from 1 species
AGUGAACGCUGGCGGUAGGCCUAACACAUGCAAGUCGAACGGCAGCACAGUAAGAGCUUGCUCUUACGGGUGGCGAGUGGCGGACGGGUGAGGAAUACAUCGGAAUCUACUUUUUCGUGGGGGAUAACGUAGGGAAACUUACGCUAAUACCGCAUACGACCUACGGGUGAAAGCAGGGGAUCUUCGGACCUUGCGCGAUUGAAUGAGCCGAUGUCGGAUUAGCUCGUUGGCGGGGUAAAGGCCCACCAAGGCGACGAUCCGUAGCUGGUCUGAGAGCAUGAUCAGCCAGACGGUAACAGAGACACGGCCCAGACUCCGACGGGGGGCAGCAGUGGGGAAUAUUGGACAAUGGGGGCAAGCCUGAUCCAGCCAUACCGCGUGGGUGAAGAAGGCCUUAUGGUUGUAAAGCCCUUUUGUUGGGAAGGAAGAGCAGCAGGUUAAUACCCCGCUGUUCUGACGGUACCCAAAGAAUAAGCACCGGCUAACUUCGUG